rnacentral:rRNA from 1 species
AUUGAACGCUGGCGGCAUGCUUUACACAUGCAAGUCGAACGGCAGCGCGGGCUUCGGCCUGGCGGCGAGUGGCGAACGGGUGAGUAAUACAUCGGAACGUGCCCAGUAGUGGGGGAUAGCUCGGCGAAAGCCGGAUUAAUACCGCAUACGACCUGGGGGUGAAAGCGGGGGAUCUUCGGACCUCGCGCUAUUUGAGCGGCCGAUGGCAGAUUAGCUAGUUGGUGGGGUAAAGGCCUACCAAGGCGACGAUCUGUAGCUGGUCUGAGAGGACGACCAGCCACACUGGGACUGAGACACGGCCCAGACUCCUACGGGAGGCAGCAGUGGGGAAUUUUGGACAAUGGGCGAAAGCCUGAUCCAGCAAUGCCGCGUGUGUGAUGAAGGCCUUCGGGUUGUAAAGCACUUUUGGCGGGAACGAAAAGGACUGUGCCAAUACCACGGUUCGAUGACGGUACCCGCAGAAUAAGCACCGGCUAACUACGUG